rnacentral:rRNA from 1 species
ACUGGGGCGGUCUCCUCCUAAAGAGUAACGGAGGAGCACGAAGGUUGGCUAAUCCUGGUCGGACAUCAGGAGGUUAGUGCAAUGGCAUAAGCCAGCUUGACUGCGAGCGUGACGGCGCGAGCAGGUGCGAAAGCAGGUCAUAGUGAUCCGGUGGUUCUGAAUGGAAGGGCCAUCGCUCAACGGAUAAAAGGUACUCCGGGGAUAACAGGCUGAUACCGCCCAAGAGUUCAUAUCGACGGCGGUGUUUGGCACCUCGAUGUCGGCUCAUCACAUCCUGGGGCUGAAGUAGGUCCCAAGGGUAUGGCUGUUCGCCAUUUAAAGUGGUACGCGAGCUGGGUUUAGAACGUCGUGAGACAGUUCGGUCCCUAUCUGCCGUGGGCGCUGGAGAACUGAGGGGGGCUGCUCCUAGUACGAGAGGACCGGAGUGGACGCAUCACUGGUGUUCGGGUUGUCAUGCCAAUGGCACUGCCCGGUAGCUAAAUGCGGAAGAGAUAAGUGCUGAAAGCAUCUAAGCACGAAACUUGCCCCGAGAUGAGUUCUCCCUGACUCCUUGAGAGUCCUGAAGGAACGUUGAAGACGACGACGUUGAUAGGCCGGGUGUGUAAGCGCAGCGAUGCGUUGAGCUAACCGGUACUAAUGAACCGUGAGGCUUAACCUUACAACGCCGAAGGUGUUU